CUAUCCCGUCAUUCUCAGCGUGGAGCAGUAGAGUGGGACUCCUUGGAGUAUUCUAGAGCGGCAGGACCAGGCCAAAAUUUAACCGACAUGUCGGAGAAAAAUAAACCCGUAGAUUUGGGGCUUUUGGAAGAAGACGACGAGUUCGAGGAGUUUCCUGCGGAAGACUGGGCUGGUUUAGAUGAAGAUGAAGAUGCACAUGUGUGGGAAGAUAAUUGGGAUGAUGAUAAUGUAGAAGAUGAUUUCUCUAACCAGUUAAGAGCAGAACUGGAAAAGCAUUGCUACAAGAUGGAAACUGCAUAGCUUCUAAUAGCUUCUACAGGUUUUUUUGGCCUAAAAAAUCAGAAAUCUCCGCGGAACUAAGAGAAAAUUUACUUUUGAAUAACUAACAGUGUCAAAAGUAAAAUGCUAGCUAUCAUAAAUGCCAUACAAUGUUGAUAUAUUAAUGUUAUCUAUUAAUGUUAUCUAUUAAUAAAUAAAGAAAUUUUUAAAAAAAUG